rnacentral:rRNA from 1 species
CAGCCGCCGCGGUAAUACGUAGGUGGCAAGCGUUGUCCGGAAUUAUUGGGCGUAAAGGGCUCGCAGGCGGUUUCUUAAGUCUGAAGUGAAAUGCCCGGGCUCAACCCGGGAACUGCUUUGGAAACUGUCGAUCUGGAGUGUUGGAGAGGUAAGUGGAAUUCCUGGUGUAGCGGUGAAAUGCGUAGAGAUCGGAAGGAACAUCAGUGGCGAAGGCGGCCAUCUGGGACAACACUGACGCUGAAGCACGAAAGCGUGGGGAGCAAACAGGAUUAGAUACCCCUGUAGUCCCUGUCUCUUAUAC